CAGUAGCCGCGGGAAUACGGAGGGUGCGAGCGUUAAUCGGAAUAACUGGGCGUAAAGGGCACGCAGGCGGUUAUUUAAGUGAGGUGUGAAAGCCCCGGGCUUAACCUGGGAAUUGCAUUUCAGACUGGGUAACUAGAGUACUUUAGGGAGGGGUAGAAUUCCACGUGUAGCGGUGAAAUGCGUGGAGAUGUGGAGGAAUACCGAAGGCGAAGGCAGCCCCUUGGGAAUGUACUGACGCUCAUGUGCGAAAGCGUGGGGAGCAAACAGGAUUAGAUACCCCCGUAGUCCCUGUCUCUUAUAC
rnacentral:rRNA from 1 species